CAAUUGGAAAGAGGAGUGGCGGACGGGUGAGUAACACGUGGGUAACCUACCCAUCAGAGGGGGAUAACACUUGGAAACAGGUGCUAAUACCGCAUAACAGUUUAUGCCGCAUGGCAUAAGAGUGAAAGGCGCUUUCGGGUGUCGCUGAUGGAUGGACCCGCGGUGCAUUAGCUAGUUGGUGAGGUAACGGCUCACCAAGGCCACGAUGCAUAGCCGACCUGAGAGGGUGAUCGGCCACACUGGGACUGAGACACGGCCCAGACUCCUACGGGAGGCAGCAGUAGGGAAUCUUCGGCAAUGGACGAAAGUCUGACCGAGCAACGCCGCGUGAGUGAAGAAGGUUUUCGGAUCGUAAAACUCUGUUGUUAGAGAAGAACAAGGACGUUAGUAACUGAACGUCCCCUGACGGUAUCUAACCAGAAAGCCACGGCUAACUACGUGCCAGCAGCCGCGGUAAUACGUAGGUGGCAAGCGUUGUCCGGAUUUAUUGGGCGUAAAGCGAGCGC
rnacentral:rRNA from 1 species